UCGAGGGGCAUCGGGAUUGAAGCUUGCUUCAAUUGCCGGCGACCGGCGCACGGGUGCGUAACGCGUAUGUAACCUACCUAUAACAGGGGCAUAACACUGAGAAAUUGGUACUAAUUCCCCAUAAUAUUCGGAGAGGCAUCUCUCCGGGUUGAAAACUCCGGUGGUUAUAGAUGGACAUGCGUUGUAUUAGCUAGUUGGUGAGGUAACGGCUCACCAAGGCAACGAUACAUAGGGGGACUGAGAGGUUAACCCCCCACACUGGUACUGAGACACGGACCAGACUCCUACGGGAGGCAGCAGUGAGGAAUAUUGGUCAAUGGACGCAAGUCUGAACCAGCCAUGCCGCGUGCAGGAAGACGGCUCUAUGAGUUGUAAACUGCUUUUGUACGAGGGUAAACUCACCUACGUGUAGGUGACUGAAAGUAUCGUACGAAUAAGGAUCGGCUAACUCCGUGCCAGCAGCCGCGGUAAUACGGAGGAUUCAAGCGUUAUCCGGAUUUAUUGGGUUUAAAGGGUGCGUAGGCGGUUUGAUAAGUUAGAGGUGAAAUCCCGGGGCUUAACUCCGGAACUGCCUCUAAUACUGUUAGACUAGAGAGUAGUUGCGGUAGGCGGAAUGUAUGGUGUAGCGGUGAAAUGCUUAGAGAUCAUACAGAACACCGAUUGCGAAGGCAGCUUACCAACUAUAUCUGAC
rnacentral:rRNA from 1 species